UACGGAGGGGGCGAGCGUUGUUCGGAGUGACUGGGCGUAAAGAGCACGUAGGCGGUGUUGUAAGUCAUUAGUCAAAGACUAGAGCUCAACUUUAGUAAGGCUAGUGAUACUAUAAUACUAGAGUAUCAGAGAGGAUUGCAGAAUUCCUGGUGUAGCGGUGAAAUGCGUAGAUAUCAGGAGGAAUACCGUUAGCGAAGGCGGCCUGCUGGACGGUGUACUGACGCUGAGGCUCGAAAGCGUGGGGAGCAAACAGG
rnacentral:rRNA from 1 species